UACGUAGGGUGCAAGCGUUGUCCGGAAUUAUUGGGCGUAAAGAGCUCGUAGGCGGUCAGUCGCGUCUGCUGUGAAAACUCGGGGCUUAACUCCGGGCCUGCAGUGGGUACGGGCUGACUAGAGUGCGGUAGGGGAGACUGGAAUUCCUGGUGUAGCGGUGAAAUGCGCAGAUAUCAGGAGGAACGCCUGUGGUGUAGACGGCUCUCUGGACCAUUACUGACACUGAGGUACGAAAGCGUGGGUAGCAAACAGG
rnacentral:rRNA from 1 species